UUCUGCAGGCUAUAUACCAUGAAAGCACCAGAUCUCAUCUGAUCUUAGUAGCUUAGAAAGGUCAGGCAUGAGUACUUAGAUGGGGGACCACCAAGGAAUAUCAGGUACUGCAGGUG
rnacentral:rRNA from 1 species